rnacentral:lncRNA from 1 species
GGACCAUAGGUACUCAGCUGGAGCUUGCAUGGAGGAGGGUCGUUGUGGGACACGGAUCGCUGCGUGUCAUGUUCUAUUUGAAAACAUUUGAACUGAUGUUAUAACUUUAACUUAUGCUUCCGCUUGCAACUUAACUUGUUUGUUUUGAAACACCAAUCGUAUUGGUUAAACUUUUAUAACUGCUUAUACGCUUGUUCAGUAUGAUUGGUGGCUGGAUCCUGGUCAGUCACGCCUCCAAGCGGACUGUAUCCCUGCUGACUCAGACUACUUAGCCGAGGGUAACGUCACCGCCAAAAGCGGGGCCUACCAUAAUUUGCAUUAAUAACUUAAUUCAUUAUCUUUCAAUAAUCCGACCCUUUAGGAUUGUAUCCUUGCUGACUCAAACUACUGGGUUGAGGGUAACGUCGCCUUCAAAAGAGGGGCCUACUACAAUAACUAAGAUAAUCUCUUAAACAAGUGCAAAAGUGCGA